CGCGGGGACGGGGCUGCGACGCUGCUGUCACCGCCUCCCCAUCUCGCGUCACGGGUGACAGACCAAGAGGAAACCCUUCCCUCGAGCGUUCUGGGUGGAAAACAGGACCCCGAAAGUCUUCGAGUGCCGUGGCUACGGCGCGUGUGCACUUGCUGACUUCCUAGCUAGUCAGAGCCCCUGAAACUGGAAGAUUGUUACAGGAACGAGGCGGGGGCGCGGGGCGCCCGAGUCUUCCUGUCGUUCAGUUAGAGCCUCCGCGUCCGCGACGGGGCCGAACCGGCCCCAGUGGGUUCCGCUGCGCACGCUCUGGGCUCCAGGUCCCCAGGCCCCUGGCCCUGCGGCUGGUGUCAGACACGCGCCACGUGGCGCCAAGUGGUGUGAGCUGCCCGCAGCGCCACGCGGAACCUGAGCUGUGGCGGUGGGCUCCAGUGCUGAGUCCAGCUCGGGAAGCUCACCUUCAGCCUCAGCUGCUCUGUGGCGCUGGGGGCGCAGGGACAGCGACUGAGAGCCGCACCCAGCCCUCCGACACCCACGCCCAGACUCCAGGUCCUGCUCAAGACGAGAGAGCUUCUAAAUUCUCGACAGAAGGCUCUGGAGACAGAAACAGCUUAGACUCCUUCUGUUGACGGCAACUACACGGCAGUGAACUUGAUCAAAGAGGACAGAGUUACAGAGCUCAUAUUCUAGUGGCUGACACAGACAUGAAGUAGCUGAUUGCAGUGAUCUAAAACAUGGCGGAUGGUCCCUGGCAGUUCGUGCGAGUGGGGGUAGGAACAGAGCCCCUGUCCCCUGCCUCAUCCUUACAGAUUGAUUAUAGUGAUGUGAGAC